rnacentral:rRNA from 1 species
UUGAGCGGAGAUAUAUGGAGCUUGCUUUAUAUAACUUAGCAGCGAACGGGUGAGUAACACGUAGAUAAUCUAUCCUAUACUGGGGGAUAGCCCGAUGAAAGUUGGAUUAAUACCGCAUAUAGCUAUAUAGUUGCAUGAUUAUGUAGUGAAAGAUUUAUUGGUAUAGGAGGAGUCUGCGGCACAUUAGCUAGUAGGUGAGGUAAAGGCUUACCUAGGCGACGAUGUGUAGCCGGUCUGAGAGGAUGAACGGCCACAAUGGAACUGAGACACGGUCCAUACUCCUACGGGAGGCAGCAGUGGGGAAUAUUGCACAAUGGGGGAAACCCUGAUGCAGCAACGCCGCGUGAGUGAAGAAGGUUUUCGGAUUGUAAAGCUCUGUUAGCAGGGAAGAGGAAGGACGGUACCUGCAGAGGAAGCCACGGCUAACUACGUGCCAGCAGCCGCGGUAAUACGUAGGUGGCAAGCGUUGUUCGGAAUAACUGGGCGUAAAGGAUGCGUAGGCGGUUAAACAAGUUAUAUGUUAAAUAUAUAGGCAUAACCUGUAGAAAGCAUAUAAAACUGUUUAACUAGAGUGCAGGAGAGGUAAGUGGAAUUCCUAGUGUAGCGGUGAAAUGCGUAGAGAUUAGGAAGAACACCAGUGGCGAAGGCGACUUACUGGACUGUAACUGACGCUGAGGCAUGAGAGCAUGGGGAGCAAACAGGAUUAGAUACCCUGGUAGUCCAUGCUGUAAACGAUGGGUACUAGGUGUGGGUUGUGAAUAACAAUUCGUGCCGUCGCAAACGCAAUAAG